UGGGGAAUAUUGCACAAUGGGCGCAAGCCUGAUGCAGCCAUGCCGCGUGUGUGAAGAAGGCCUUCGGGUUGUAAAGCACUUUCAGCGGGGAGGAAGGCGAUAAGGUUAAUAACCUUGUCGAUUGACGUUACCCGCAGAAGAAGCACCGGCUAACUCCGUGCCAGCAGCCGCGGUAAUACGGAGGGUGCAAGCGUUAAUCGGAAUUACUGGGCGUAAAGCGCACGCAGGCGGUCUGUCAAGUCGGAUGUGAAAUCCCCGGGCUCAACCCGGGAACUGCAUUCGAAACUGGCAGGCUAGAGUCUUGUAGAGGGGGGUAGAAUUCCAGGUGUAGCGGUGAAAUGCGUAGAGAUCUGGAGGAAUACCGGUGGCGAAGGCGGCCCCCUGGACAAAGACUGACGCUCAGGUGCGAAAGCGUGGGGAGCAAACAGG
rnacentral:rRNA from 1 species